CAGGUCAGUGAAGCUGAGAAACAAUAAGAAACAGUAUUUAUAUGACUGUGGAGGAACUUAGGAAAGCCACGAGGAUGCCUGGAAUUGGGAGGAUCAAUGGAGCAUCAGACACACAGUUGCACCCAGUACAUGGGACACAGCGAGAAUGGAAGCCAUGGGGAAGAAAAAAGCAUCAAGAGAUCAGGAUCCAGUCUCAGGAUUAACACAAUGCCUGCCACGCAUUAGGGCUUGAACAGUAUGUUUUUGAAUGAGUGAGUAAAUAUGAUGGAAUUUCAAGGCUUCCAUACUUCAGGAAAGGGAUUUUAGGUCAAGAAUCUGGUGCUCUGUGUUUUAUUUAUGUUGAAAUAAAGUCAAAUGUCAUACAUCUGUU